rnacentral:rRNA from 1 species
GAUGAACGCUGGCGGCGUGCCUAAUACAUGCAAGUAGAACGCUGAAGGAAGGAGCUUGCUCUUUCCGGAUGAGUUGCGAACGGGUGAGUAACGCGUAGGUAACCUGCCUGGUAGCGGGGGAUAACUAUUGGAAACGAUAGCUAAUACCGCAUAACAGUAGAUGUUGCAUGAUAUCUACUUAAAAGGUGCAAUUGCACCACUACCAGAUGGACCUGCGUUGUAUUAGCUAGUUGGUGAGGUAACGGCUCACCAAGGCGACGAUACAUAGCCGACCUGAGAGGGUGAUCGGCCACACUGGGACUGAGACACGGCCCAGACCCCUACGGGAGGCAGCAGUAGGGAAUCUUCGGCAAUGGCCGGAAGUCUGGCCGAGCAACGCCGCGUGAGUGAAGAAGGUUUUCGGAUCGUAAAGCUCUGUUGUAAGAGAAGAACGAGUGUGAGAGUGGAAAGUUCACACUGUGACGGUAUCUUACCAGAAAGGGACGGCUGACUACGUG